CAGGAGUAUAUUCCAACACGAAGCUCAAUCGAGUCACGCAGUCACGCGCUACCUCGGCGUUCUCGCCGACAAGAAGCCGAAACUAGAUCAAGUCGCCAUUGAAGAUGAGGCUAGGAUAGCACCGCUCGUCUGUGAGAAGAGGAAGUUGUUCAAUGAGUUGUUGACAUCCAAAGGGAACAUAAAGGUAUUCUGUCGUUCGAGACCAUUAUUUGAAGAUGAAGAUCCCUUUGCUGUAGAAUUCCUGGAUGAUUUUACUAUCCGUGUCGACAUUGGUGAUGGGACCAAUACCAAUUCUAAAAAAGAUUAUGAAUUUGAUAGGGUGUAUGGACCUCAUGUUGGAUGGAUCGAGCUAGAAAAUGAUUAAUUUUGUUACAUAAUAGGCAUCAUUUGAAAAAAAAAUUGGUAUAUACUAGUUACAUGGCUAGUUUGCGUGGAGGUUUGUUAUCUUACAGUAGAACUGGUGCAUGUGCAGCUAAUAUAUUUAAUGAUGUUCAACCAUUGGUUCAAUCAGCUUUGGAUGGAUUUAAUGUGUCAAUAUUUGCUUAUGGACAAAGUAACUCAGGAAAGACGCACACUAUGGUCUCUCUCUCUAUCUCUCUCUCUCUCAAACAUGC